rnacentral:rRNA from 1 species
CUAAGAAUAUUCCGCAAUGGGCGAAAGCCUGACGGAGCGACGCCGCGUGGAGGAUGAAGGCCUUCGGGUUGUAAACUCCUUUUCUUGGGAAAGAAUAAGGCCGGUAGUAACUGACCGGUCGAUGACGGUACCCAAGGAAUAAGCCCCGGCCAAUUACGUGCCAGCAGCCGCGGUAAUACGUAGGGUGCGAGCGUUAAUCGGAAUUACUGGGCGUAAAGCGUGCGCAGGCGGUUCGCUAAGUCUGAUGUGAAAGCCCCGGGCUCAAACCUGGGAACUGCAUUGGAAAACUGGCGAGCUUGAGUGUGGCAGAGGGGGGUGGAAUUCCACGUGUAGCAGUGAAAUGCGUAGAGAUGUGGAGGAACACCGAUGGCGAAGGCAGCCCCCUGGGCUAACACUGACGCUCAGGCACGAAAGCGUGGGGAGCAAACAGGAUUAGAUACCCUGGUAGUCCACGCCCUAAACUAUGUCAACUGGGUGUUGGGGAAGCGAUUCCUCAGUACCGUAGCUAACGCGUGAAGUUGACCGCCUGGGGAGUACGGCCGCAAGGUUA